UACGUAGGCAGCGAGCGUUGUUCGGAGUUACUGGGCGUAAAGAGUGCGUAGGCGGUUUUCUAAGUUUGGUGUGAAAUCUCCCGGCUUAACUGGGAGGGUGCGCCGGAAACUGGAAGGCUGGAGUAUGGGAGAGGUAAGCGGAAUUCCUGGUGUAGCGGUGAAAUGCGUAGAUAUCAGGAGGAACACCUGCGGUGAAGACGGCUUACUGGACCAUAACUGACGCUGAGGCACGAAAGCGUGGGGAGCAAACAGG
rnacentral:rRNA from 1 species